rnacentral:lncRNA from 1 species
AAUAAGCUAAAUACAUAACCCACCAAAUCAAUAAAAUUUCGGCAGCAUAACAUGGCUAAUAUACUACUAUCCAACCUGUCAAUGUAAGACAAAACAAUUUAUAUAAUUCACAAAACCACAAUUUCAACCAUUCAUGCUACCACAAUUUCAUAAGCCAUCAAUUCAAAUUAUGUAUAUAUAUAUAUAUAUAAUACGAAUGUAUAGCCUCCACUUACUCUAUUUCGAAAAUCAACAUUUAGUUUCAGAAUAAUUUAUAAAUCUCAUUCAUUUAACCAACAUUUAAAAUGUAAAACAUAAUAAUUUGCAAAUUAAGUGCCUUAUUCUUUAAAAUCUUAAAACAAGUAUAAACCACUUUAGAUAAUUAAGAUGAACAUCUGAUUACUCACUAUAAUGGGAAUUUGAAGUGGUAGGAGUACUCCUAUUCUUGGUCCUCCGACACGAUAUCUUUGCCCUUAUCGGGGGGUUCAGCACCUAUCCAUAAUACACGAUACGUAAUUCAAUACAUUGGUGUCAAAUUGUUAUAAAACUAUUUCAGACUCUAUAUGAAUGCAUGAAGUUGAAUGAGAAAUGUUCGGAUAGUCACUUAAAGACGGUGUUCUACGUAGGUUCAAUUGUGAUCGGAAGGAAUUUGUAUUCGACCUAAUUCGAACUAUACACCAUUGAUUUAACCAAAACAUCCGAUUCAACUCCAAAUAUAUUCAUUACACUUCCAAUAAUCUAAUACACCAAAGCAUUACAAUGAACUUGAUUUUUGACUAACUUCACCAUUUUUCGAAAUUCAUUCCGAUUCCGAACUAACAUACUAAUCAAUGUCUACAUAGUCUCGUAAAUCCAUAUAUAUCAUUAGGAAUCAAAUCCAAGUCCAUUUACUAUGAUUUUCUCAUUUUCCAUCAAGCCAUUUUCUAAAGGAACUAUACUUUUCAAUAACCGGUUUCGAUAUCCAACAUCAUAAUUCAUCAAUUCCUAGCUAAAUAACAUGAAUUACAACCAAAUCCAUCAUCAACAUGCCCUAUAGAAAAUUCGGCCAAAUGAGGGUGGUUGAAGAACAUGUGAUUUUCUUGCUUGUUUUUCCUUCCAAACAUCACAAAAUGACUAAAAACACUAGGAUAUUAUGAAAUCUAGCAAAAUUCAUCACCAAAACUUCUCUCUCUAGAUUUGGCCAGCAAAGGUUCCCUCUUGAAAACUUGAAUUUUAGCCAUGGAGAAUGAAAAAGAAUGCAUGGGAAAGGUAGAUCACAAGCUAAUAUAAAAAAAUCUUACCUUUACUUGCUUGAUUCCUUGAAAUCCAACAAUUUCUCUUGGAUUUUUCCUUCCUAGGGUUUGUUCUUCUCUUUUUCUCUUUGUUCCCUUGCUUGGCCGGCC